AUUGAACGCUGGCGGCAUGCCUUACACAUGCAAGUCGAACGGCAGCACGGGUGCUCGCACCUGGUGGCGAGUGGCGCACGGGUGAGUUAUCCAUCGGAACAUGUCCUGUAGUGGGGGAUAGCCCGGCGAAAGCCGGAUUAAUACCGCAUCCGAUCUACGGAUGAAAGCGGGGGACCUUAGGGUCUCGCGCUAUAGGGUUGGCUGCUGGCUGACUAGCUUGUUGGUGGGGUGAAGGCCUACCAAGGCGACGAUCAGUAGCUGGUCUGUGAGGACGACCAGCCACACUGGGACUGAGACACGGCCCAGACUCCUGCGGGAGGCAGCGGUGGGGAAUUGUGGACAAUGGGCGAAGACCUGAUCCAGCAAUGCCGCGUGUGUGAAGAAGUCCUUCGGGUUGUAAAGCACAUUUGGCCGGAAAGAAAUCCUUUGCCCUAAUACGGUCGGGGGAUGACGGUACCGUAAGAAUAAGCACCGGCUAACUACGUG
rnacentral:rRNA from 1 species